GAUGAAGAACGCAGCGAAAUGCGAUAAGUAGUGUGAAUUGCAGAAUUCAGUGAAUCAUCGAAUCUUUGAACGCACAUUGCGCCCCUUGGUAUACCAUGGGGCAUGCCUGUUCGAGCGUCAUUUGUACCUUCAAGCUCUGCUUGGUGUUGGGUGUUUGUCUCGCCUCUGCGUGUAGACUCGCCUCAAAACAAUUGGCAGCCGGCGUAUUGAUUUCGGAGCGCAGUACAUCUCGCGCUUUGCACUCAUAACGACGACGUCCAAAAGUACAUUUUUACACUCUUGACCUCGGAUCAGGUAGGGAUAGCCGCUGAACUUAAGCAUAUCAAUAAGCGGAGGA
rnacentral:misc_RNA from 1 species